UCAAUGUGGGUGGCGGAACUCUGGUAAUGUCCAUGCUUUGUGUCGUGUUCGGCAAGGUUCGUUUAUUCUGACACCAUGUCUUGUUUUGUAGACCUAAACUACAUUAAAAUGAGUGACCAUUAGGUACUAACGCACAACUAUUUAUUUGGAAGACUGCACAUAUCAGAAUGCCAGCUUCGCACACCAAAACAUUUCCCACAAGGCACUGUGGAUAAACAUGUGACGCAAACAACCAAUCACAACAUCCCAGGGAUGCUACAUUCAAGAUCAUUAGCACUGGUUGUUAAUGUGCAAACUGAAUCAUCAGUGAAUAUUACAGUAUAUGCCCUGCGACAGACUGUCCAGACCUGUCCAGGGUGUCCCCUGCCUUCACCCGAGUCAGCUGGGAUAGGCUCCAGCACCCCCCGCGACCCUAGUGAGGAUAAAGUGGUGUAUAGAGAAUGGAUGGAUGGAUGUCUAUAAAAUAUUUUUCUUUUUAAUUUUUGUUAAAUAGAAUUUUAAAACACAAAUUCGUAAUUGUAUAUUAUAUAUCAUACCAUACACUUUAUGUACACUCAUUUUGUAUUUCAUUUUCUAGUUAUAUAAUUUUAAUCCAGUUGUACAUUAUGUACCAUAAAUUGUCUGUAUGAUAUUUUUAAAGUACUACUUUAUAAUCAUGCAUGUGUUCACUUUGUUAGGUAUAAUUGAAUAAAUAUUAUUUAUAAUGUUUAUUAGGCCUUUUUUUAAGUGUACCACAGUAAUAAAAUAUAAGAUGCAGGCAAACGAAUACAAAACUUGGACAACAUUAACAAUAUAAAAAGCAACAUUAGCAAAAUAGUUACAAACACAAAUGAACCAACUACAGCAGAGCAGCUGUUCCACUGUGAACGUCAGAUAUUACAGGAGAUAUUUACAUGUUAGAGCAGCUGGACACAAAUGAGACAACAAAUGCAAAUGUACAUUAAAGCUAAAAAUAAAGAUCCUGUACAGGCUGCUUUACUUUCCCAUGUCCAGAUGUGGCAUGAUAGAUAAGACACUCAGCUGAAGGACACACACAGCCUGAAGAUCCACUCUCUAACUUGUAGUUUUCUCGUUUUACUACAGAUAAAGUAAAAGGAAUGUGAGCAUGAACCAGCAAAUUCUGAAUAUUACACUGAAAAAUGGUGACUGUCUGGAUGAUUAGAUAAAAAGUCAUUAACUAAUAAGGAUUUCUACUCUUUCCCUGAGGUCAUUUUCCAAGACUUUUCCAAGACAUUUUCAGCCGGUUUAGAGACACAUUUUCAUGUCAUACACUAAUACAUUCCCGUCCCCCUCAUUCUUUGGAAGUGUUCUUUACUGCAGUUGUAACGUGCAUUUACCCAGAUUGUUUCUAUAUUUAUUACUCAGACAUUUGAUGUUCAGUCUAUGGCUGUAAUUUAUCUAUGAAAAAUAAAUAUGACAAAUACAUAAUAGAAUAAUGCAAGCACACCCACAGAUUACAGCGUAGCACUUCACUAGCAUGACAAAUUGGAGUUACAGGGUUCCAUUGGGUAAUUCCCAACUCAACUUUCUCUUGUCUCUUACUUUCUCUGGUGCAAUUCACUUAAAAUAUUUGUAUAUUUUCAAUAAAUCACUGAAAAACUAUUUCCUUUGUUACAUGUCAGUUUACUGGACAAAUCCGAUUUUUUACAUAUCUGGUACUUGCAUUUCUCAAACAUAAUUAAAAUCAAAAUCACUGCCAAAAUACUCAAGCAAAUCUGUCCAUUUUGUUGUUUAAUCCACCUGUCAAGCCUGUUGAAUUGCAUUUGAUUUGUUUAAAACUUACAAAAUAAAGUCAAAUUAACUGAUUGAUAGCUGCAAUGUUAAUUUAGCCAUGUUAAAUCACAUUAAUUUAUGCUAACAACAGUGGAAAUAAGAAAUGCCAGUGGUCAGGGAUGAAUUUUAAAUCUAAAGGUGUUCUAAGAUACCACCCUGCCCACUGUCCGCUGCUGCUACUAUUUCCCUAUUUAUGUAUUUUUACUCCAUUUGGACUGCAUGAAAUGCUUCUUUGACCAAAAAUGUGUAUAUGUGUGUAAAUUACAUUAAGUUCGUGUUUUUUUCCACAACCUCUUAAGCCCAUAUAGAGCCACUGCUGCACCAUCAUAUGGAGGCGGACAGUCCACUACAGAGACUUUAUGUAUCUGUGUUGACCCGCGUCAUCGACUGAAAGUUUGAUUCCAGACAUGAAGCGCUCAGUUGCAUCUCAACUGCUGUGGGAAGAUGUAGUUUAUGUGGACGCCACCACACACUCUCUAGAACUCUCCUCUGCCUGUCACUCCACGGAAGACAGAGAAGAGCUUGCGGUCGCCCAUGGGAGAGAAAACCCUCACACUCGUGGACCAACACUUUUCAACUAACAGUCACUAGUUUUGUCUCUAGGUGAUAAGUCCUUAACGGGGUCUGAAAAGUCGCUAAAUGUAGCGACAAGAGGGAAAGCAAAUUUGAUUGGCUGGUAGCAUCACGUGAGGCGCUGCGCCGGCUAAAAGCUGAGAAACGCUGGUGCCAACACAAACAGACAUGCAUGUCCAAUACUUUUAACCCGUUUGCAUUGACAGGGGGAUGAUACAUAUUUUUCCAGGAUAAGUUAACCGUUUCCAGGAUAUUUGACCUUUUUCUCAUUUUCCAUAUGUUUUCCAUGACUGGAAAAUUGGUCAAUCAUUUUCCAGGUUUUCCAGGACGCAUGGGAACCCUGCUGUUUACUGAAAGAUUGAUGCUAGAGAGGCUACGCGUACGGGUCCGUAUCUGUAGACACUACGUUACUGAAACCCCAAGGAGAAAGAAGACCUCUUAAAGCACUGUUAAGCGGAUAUUCAAACCAGUAAAGCUCACUGAACAGAUGACAGCUUAGAAUUCUGACAGCACUUGAAUGGAGCACUUUUUUUUUUAAACGGAGACAUUUUCUCGAGCUCGAAGCAAGACAGAACUGAGGUUUCCUGUGCUUUUUAUGACCUAUUCGUCUACCAAGAAGCAUUCAUCCGUAGCCCUACAGCUGCUGUACCAGCAGUGGAAACGGACUUCAGGACCAAACAUAAAAACAUAUUGAUGCAUUUUUUUUCUGCAUCACCGGCUGAGUACAGGUAGGUUUCUGUGGCAACGUGAUUCAUACAGUGUUUAAAUCUGACACUCUGAACAUAAAUACAUAGUUUGUGUAUCUCUUGUGUUUCUUUACUCUGCUCUCAGUUAUUGUAAUGAUAUAAUUAAUUAAAUCUCUAAUGAACUCAUAAACGUGAAAAGCAUGAGAAGUUUGUUUUUGUUCUUUGUUCUUUCAAGUCCUAAAUCUCUGUCACAAGACUCGGAGUAGUUCAAGGACCAUCAGAAAUAUGACAGUCGGUUUGAAAUGAUUGUGAAAAUUAUGCACCGUUUGUUUAAAUUCGCACAAAAUAUAUCCCUUCCUGACCAGCAGACACAAUAAGUUUUAAUUUCACAUCUUUUCCUGGAUGACAAUGUCCUUUACUAGCGUGAAAAUAGAUCUGGAGUCAUUUAACCGAACUGAAGAAAUCAAUGGAAGUGUUUUUCAGAACAAAAUCAGUCCUGCGGUUUUUGAAUAGAACUACAAAUACAAACUAUUCUUUACUGUAAACAUUAGAGUCAUGUGGAGGAUUAUCCAUUAGUUUGAACAAAAAAUAACAAAAACAUUUUUCUGUAAUAUGUGAAAAUGUCAGACAAUGAUAUUUGAGGAAAGACACCCUGGGUGGACAUAAAUGAUUUUUAAAACUCUAAUUGUGCAAAUGUUUCUGAUAAAUAUCAAAUGUAUUAGCUAGUUAUUUAACUACAUUGACUUUGUAAUUUCAGUUCUCCAGUUUUGUAUCUUGAAAAUAUAGUAUUGUGUUAUUUUGUUUAAUAUUACUGAAUUGGUUAAAGUCUGAUUUAAUAGUUUUCUCAGUUUGCACUGUUUAAUUCACUGCCAUCGUUUCUUUGUGAAGUAUUUUUACUUGCAGUUUUUAUAAUUGGAGUGAAAAUAACUGCAUUUAUUUAUUGUCAGAGGUUUAUAAUGAAUCUAACCUCACAGAGAAAAUGAAUAUUUAACAUGCAGUGGUUCUGUUAUUUCAUUUUCUGCCUCUUCUUCAACAAAAAUGUCAGAUUUUAUUUGGGAAAAAAUCAUGUUUGAAUCCCAGUUUGACUGAGUCACAUGUUCAAAUGUCACGUUGUUGAAAUUAAUGCUCCAGAUCCAGAACAAACAGGAUUUUGCUGCUCAGCUGUGCCUGAAGGGAAACAGUUUCACACUGAACAUUAAAGUCUGUGUUCAAAUCUUCA